rnacentral:lncRNA from 1 species
AUCAAUUUCAAUUGUAAAAUUAAAAUUCAUUAUUCAUUAUUUCUAAAUGAAUUUUGCUACACAUUUACCAGAGAACUUUUUGAAAAUGAAAUGUCAAAUACCAUUUUCUUUAUCAUUUUAAUUAACUGACAGAAAAAGCAGCGUUGAGGAAGAAAAUGAAAAAGCUUUUUGUUCAAUUGCUUUUUCAUUUUAAUUUUGAGUCAACAAAUGCAGCUUCAUUUUGAAAAUGAAAAAGCAUUUCUGGUUUUGACUUUUAUUUUUAAUUAUGCUACACAAUUGCUUCCAUAGAAUCCGGCAUGUUUUGUGUUUGCAUGCUAGGGAGCUGUGUCAGGUCUAGUCAGUAGAAUUUGUCAUCACGCUCGCACAGAGGGAGCUGCUCCGCCUGCCUCUGAGGCGGGCAGCCUGCGUUUCAGUGGAGGAGGAGAGAAUGCACAGUGAUGUCAUCUUCAGGUCUCUGCUGUGGUCUGUAAUGGUGCUUCUUGGUGCUGGAGCUGUGCAAGAAAUGCAUCCAUUAAGGCUGCACAGACGGGCCUAACUACGGUUUCGAAUCUGGACUCAUCAUGGACUCCUCCUCUGAGUCCCAGACAGAACCUGAGAAAACUCUGCACAAUGCAGAGUCCAGAGAGCAUCAUGCCGCCUCGGCUGCCGUAGCGAGUGGUGAUGAGCCCGGCCUUCUGACCCCAGGCAGGAUGAGCCAGCGGCAGGUUAAGGAGAAGGACAAGGAGAGGGAGAAGGAGGCAGGCCUCCAAACCCCCAGCAGGGAGCACAUGGCAUCCCCCUCUGCUCUGAGCCCUGGGGUCAGCUACAGCCACGUUCUUGGCUCUCCUGUUGCCAUGGCAGCCCCAUAUUUCCCACAAAAUCCUGCAUCAUGAUGUGGAGCGUGAGCUUGUGUGAGUCUCUUUCACCUCCUGAACCUUGAAAAGGCCGGGGUGAGUUGUUGGUUUGUACAAAUAUCAUCUCAUUCGUGCAGCUUCGGUGAACACGAACAUCUUCACUUUAUCAAUUUUAUAUAGAAAUACAGACAUAUGAUGCUAUUACAUUUUAUUUUGUGACAACACUGGAAUGUGUUUUUCUGUUUUCUUUGCACUUUUGCUGCUUUCAGCAUAGGACUUAUCCCGUUUCUGAUCCUUUCAGAUCAUCAUGGGUCAGUCUGCAGUGUGACACAAACACACAACUUUAAUUAGUCCUUAGGAAAGCAGGACUGUGUGUUGUUAACCUCACAUCGACACUGAAACAAUCACUGACUCGAGAGAAAAUGGGCAGAACCAGCAGUGUGUCCUCAGGCCCAGUUCUUGACAGAUUUAUCUCCAAAAAUAUCACAAACACAAUUAAAAGUAAAGCCACCUGGUUUGUUAACUCUCUAUCGCACACAGUCGGACAAACAUGAAUUCAUUUGUCUGAUUUCUCCAGGUGUCCACUGUACCUGCAUUUUCCAGCUAGGAAAAGACAACCUGUAGAAAGAAGCUUUAGCUUUAGUUUUAACAGUGACAGUGUGCUGUCUAACGAAGACCCUCGGAUGGAUCCUUGAGUGAUUUCAAAGGUUCCUGUCAUGUCACCAUAACAUUUACGUAGGAACACUGAAGGACCUGUCUCACAGCAGUGAAGCAGAAAUGCUCAUUUUAGCUUCAGAUAUCAAGAAAUUCAGGCCAAGAUAGAGAGGUGUGCAGUUGUUCUUAACAAAAACAUCAGCUAGCUACAAAACGUGUUUUAGAGGAAGCUUCUACAAAACAUUACUCAGUGCUAAAGCAGGAAAUGGGGCCCAUAAAGCUGUUCAAUGAAAAAUGCAGCCAUUAGCCAAUACUGGCGGACAGCUUUUUUACUAAAACAAAAAGAAAGCAUGGGCCUCGUCUGACCGGCUUCUGUGUAGAAAUCAACAUCUGCAGUGGCUUCUUCCACCCCCCAGCUGACACGGCCUAUGCUUUACAGACAGAAGCCAUCAAAUAUUUACUGACUCUGGCUCAUUAAAUCUCCCACAGCCACUGAGAUCUCAGAAGGGAAUCGUCCGGUUGGAUCUCAGUAAUUAGACAGAAAGUGAAAACCUUCUUCUUUACUUUGGAUGACAUAACCCUACUAUAGUUACAUGCAUCUGAGCAGCUGUUGCGUGAUUGGCUGUUGGAUUCACUUCCCCAUCAUUCAUACUUAUUCCUUCACGGUCUGGCUCUGCUGGAGGUCUUUUCCAUCUUCCAGGAAGUCCAUUCUCUUCACAUAUCCUCAGGAGCAUGCUCAAUAGAGAGAGUACACACCAAGAUUUUUCAUUCUGAUCUCUUGACUGACACUGUUAAAGUAAAGUUACUUUAAUUUAGCUCUAUUUUAUGGGCAAAAUGGGACUAAAAUGCAAUAUAAAAAAUCUAUUUAUUCUUGAUUUUUGUGGAGUUUCUAUUUUCUACAAGAAAUCAGAUGAUUUUGGUUACCGAUAUAUAUAUUUUUUUCCUUUUUAAUCAGUUGUGUGAACUGAACCAAAUAGAACUUGACCGUCCAGAGACGGCUCGAACACAGCACCUGCAGGCGGUGCAUACGAGUGUCCGCUCACAUAACAGCUGUCAUCCUGCAGGCGUCACUCAUUCCAGUUUCUAGGAGGCAUUUGCAUUUGCUGUGUUGAAUUCAAUUCAAUUUUAUUUGUGUAGCCCAAAUUCACAAUAGCAGUCGUCCCAAUGGGCUUCGCACCGGUAAUUGUAAAGUGAACAUACAAUCAAAAAGGAUCAUAAAUGCAUAGAAUUUAAUAGGAUAAUACUAAACUUUAACUGGCUUCCCUGCCCUUUGACCCUUCUUCGCGGUAAGGAAAAAACGGAUUCGGAAAUAAACGGAGAAACCUCAAGGAAACCUCGGUGUGACGAAGAAAUCUCAGGGGUUGUUGAGAAUAAGAAGCUACACUAAAAAUAAAGAAACCCACCUGUUGAUUAUUGGGUGUAAACGUUAAGUUUCACAUUUUUAUUUCUCAUACGAUUUAAAAUCUUUAGGACAUUUACAAGAGCAAGUCAGAAAAUUCCG